GUUACAGGGUUAUAGGGGCUAUAAGGCUGGCUUGAAACCAGUUUUAGGGGGUUCGACUCCCUCCUUUUUCG
rfam:Papio anubis isolate 1X1155 chromosome 7, whole genome shotgun sequence.